CUGUAGUCAUUUAGGCUACUGGAUGUUUUCUUCAGGACAGACACAAUGUUGGUAUCUUUAAAGCAUUUAGGAACAGGAGGUUAAAGUUGUUUUUUUUGGCCGACUCGUCUGCAGUCUCUGAGUAUACCAACCCUCUUCUGACAGCCUGUGUGCUCACCGUGAGUGCCAGGUGGCUGGUAGUGUGGUAACGAUGAAGUGUGUGUUGUUUUCUCUCCUCGUGACUUGGACGCUCGCCGCCUCAGGGGUGGAACAAGACUCACCAUGCCCACCUCAGUGGCUCCUGUUCGGGCACAGAUGCUUCGCUUUCUACCCUGUGUGGAGCUCCUGGAGCACCGCUCAUUCUUUGUGCUCUCAGACAGGUGGUGAUUUUGUGUCACUUCACUCACCUGAGGAGUUGCAGUUCAUCCGUCAGCUCACAAACAGUCCGGUCUGGCUGGGUGGAUACCUGCCACAACAGAAUGACAGUUUUGCUCUCAGGAUCAGAGACCGUACCAAUCAGAUGCAGGAGAAGAGCAUGGUGGGCAGGGCUUGCAUAGAAAUGGACCCCAAAAGUGGAGAGCUGCACAGAGCCUCCUGUGAAGAGUUAAGAUUCUACAUCUGCUGCUCCAGAGCCCACUCCGGUUCCACCGUCUUCACCAGAAGCAGAAAACCAGCUGCACCAGGUGUUCUCCGUGGUGUGAAUUUGUUCAGUGUCAUGUGGGGUCACACUGACAUGUUGACAGAGGGGAUUCUCCACUGGUCCCCCUUCCUCAGACAGCUUAGGUCUGGUCAUCUGACAAAGAGUUGCUACACCAGCUUCGUCCAGCAGGAGGCGCUCUACCUGCACAGAAUCAGCAGCACACUGGAGGCUCUGAUCAGUGGCCUGCAGGAAGCAGACAAUACGAGAUCACUGCUGCUGCACACGCUCAAACACUACAGGCACAGAAACAAGAGCCUUGUGGUGUCCCCGCUCCCACAGUGGCUCCUCUACAGCCUGCAGUCUUUCCACUUGGUGGUUUUAGAGGAACCGAUCUACUGGCUGGUGGCUCUGUCGGCUCGGGCCUCUCUCUAUAGCUACCUGCUUGAGAAACUGCCCCUCCCAAAGCCAGGACCCAAUCCCCAGCUGGUGUCUAAGUCUGUGGCUAACACCCUCUACCAGGAAUGGAAAUAUGAGGUCACCUGGACCCUCAGGUACCAAAAGGUGAUAAAGGAACAGCAGGACCAGGUGAACGUGUUUAAAGCCAUCAGCAUCUUCAGAGAGCACAUGAUGAACCAGAAGAGUUUCUUCAAGGCCGUAACCUGUAAUACUGAGGGUGAUGGAUGAUGAAGUGGGGGAAGCCCAGGUGGGACUGCUGGAGGAGGUCAAUGAGAACCAGCAACAGCUCAGCCUGAACAGCAAAUCCUCCCUCUCUCUCUCUCUCUCGCUCUCUCUCUCUCUCCA
ensembl:lncRNA uncharacterized LOC113139745